AACGUAGGAGGCUAGCGUUAUCCGGAUUUAUUGGGCGUAAAGCGCGUGCAGGCCGCUUGGAAAGUUGGAUGUGAAAGCUCCUGGCUUAACUGGGAGAGGUCGUUCAAAACUACCAAGCUAGAGAAUGGGAGAGGGAAGUGGAAUUCCGGGUGUAGUGGUGAAAUGCGUAGAUAUCCGGAGGAACACCAGUGGCGAAAGCGGCUUCCUAGACCAUUUCUGACGCUUAGACGCGAAAGCUAGGGGAGCGAACGGGAUUAGAUACCCAUGUAGUCC
rnacentral:rRNA from 1 species